GAUGAACGCUGGCGGCGUGCCUAAUACAUGCAAGUCGAGCGAAUGGAUUAAGAGCUUGCUCUUAUGAAGUUAGCGGCGGACGGGUGAGUAACACGUGGGUAACCUACCCAUAAGACUGGGAUAACUCCGGGAAACCGGGGCUAAUACCGGAUAACAUUUUGAACCGCAUGGUUCGAAAUUGAAAGGCGGCUUCGGCUGUCACUUAUGGAUGGACCCGCGUCGCAUUAGCUAGUUGGUGAGGUAACGGCUCACCAAGGCAACGAUGCGUAGCCGACCAGAGGGGGGGAUCGGCCACACUGGGACGGAGACACGGCCCAGACUCCGACGGGAGGCAGCAGUAGGGAAUCUUCCGCAAUGGACGAAAGUCUGACGAAGCAACGCCGCGUGAGUGAUGAAGGCUUUCGGGUCGUAAAACUCUGUUGUUAGGGAAGAACAAGUGCUAGUUGAAUAAGCUGGCACCUUGACGGUACCUAACCAGAAAGCCACGGCUAACUUCGUGCCAGCCGCCGCCGUAA
rnacentral:rRNA from 1 species